rnacentral:tRNA from 1 species
AGUAAAAGCUAAGAAGCUAUGUUGCCUUGAAAGCAGCGGAUGGGGGAUCGAUACCCCCUUUACUA